GGGCUCGUAGCUCAGCGGCAGAGCGGCCGGCUCAUAACCGGUUGGUCGCAGGUUCGAAUCCUGCCGAGCCCACCA
rnacentral:tRNA from 3 species